GAUGAACGCUGGCGGCGUGCCUAAUACAUGCAAGUUGUGCGGUAACAGAGAGAGAGCUUGCUCUCUGCUGACGAGCGGCGGACGGCGGAGUAACGCGUAGGAACAUACCCCAAACUGAGGGAUAACUGCUCGAAAGAGUAGCUAAUACCGCAUGUGGUCUUCGGAUUAAAGCUUCGGCGGUUUGGGAGUGGCCUGCGUCCGAUUAGCUAGUUGGUGAGGUAAUUGCUCACCAAGGCGACGAUCGGUAGCUGGUCUGAGAGGAUGAUCAGCCUGACUGGAACUGAGAACGGUCCAGACUCCUACGGGAGGCAGCAGUAGGGAAUUUUCCACAAUGGGCGAAAGCCUGAUGGAGCAACGCCGCGUGCAGGAUGAAUGCCUUCGGGUUGUAAACUGCUUUUCUGUGUGAAGAAUAUGACGGUAACACAGGAAUAAGGGUCGGCUAACUACGUGCCAGCAGCCGCGGUAA
rnacentral:rRNA from 1 species